rnacentral:rRNA from 1 species
UACGUAGGGGGCAAGCGUUGUCCGGAUUUAUUGGGCGUAAAGAGCGUGUAGGCGGCUAGAUAGGUCCGUUGUGAAAACUCGAGGCUCAACCUCGAGACGCCGAUGGAAACCAUCCAGCUAGAGUCCGGAAGAGGAGAGUGGAAUUCCUGGUGUAGCGGUGAAAUGCGCAGAUAUCAGGAAGAACACCCGUGGCUAAGGCGGCUCUCUAGUACGGUACUGACGCUGAGACGCGAAAGCGUGGGGAGCGAACAGG